rfam:Desulfobacterales bacterium S5133MH4 k99_997102, whole genome shotgun sequence.
AAAGAGCCCUACAUGAAAGGAAUAGCUGAACCAUCAUGGCCCCGAGUCAUGCGCGGGCAACCGUGAGGCCGCACGUGAAGCGUUGACAGGGGGAAGCGCAGGCCAGCCAUUGAGCUCCGAAAUCACCCUUCAGGGGUGCCGACCUCGUUGGACGGUAGGGAAGGCAAUACAGUGUGUGGCGUUAUUCAGCGAGUCGCCCGCUGAAAGACACAGGGGUCAGAGUACA